ensembl:lncRNA
UUUGUGACGAGUGGUUCAGAGUUUCAAAAAGCUCCGUUUCACCCAUCAAUAACUUACGUGCUUAAUGCAGUAUUUGCUAGUGAAUAGCUUAAAACAAAUGACUGAAGUCACGAGUUUGAGUUUGAAUCAAUCGGAGUGGUUCCAGCGGAAAUGACUCACUCAGUUGAAUCGGUUUGUCUGUUCCUCCGCUUUUCGCGCGUUCAGCCAUGUUUAUGCUACAACCUCAGUACAACUGCUGGCUUAAAGCGCUAGUUUUAUUCGAUUAAUUGAAAUAAGCAAAAAAGUAUGGUGUUUACAAAUAACAUCUAUAUUUCCAUUCUGAAGAUAACUGCUUUCCACGUCGAAGACAUCCAACACAAAUCAUUUUCAGAUACAGUGAUAGUUGAUGUAGAAAGAGCAAAUGGGAGAAGCAGAUGAACACAGAACAGAUGCACAGUGCUGUCUGUUCAUUAAGGUUUCUGAGUGUAUCUACUCAUGGAUUACUAUGUCGUUGGAGAUCUGCAGACAUUGCUGAGUAAGUUCGGUGAUGGUAUCCUCAGUUCUACCUGUUGAGAUGGUGAUGGCCCUCGAUUUAGUCCACAGACUAAAUGAAAGUCUCAUUCACCGGCACAAAGACAAAGCGGGCGGCGUGUGAUAAACGAUGAUUAGCGUGAGAGGUGAGCGGCAGACGGGUGACGGACAGAAACAAGGCCAGGAAUGCCAACAGCCUUCGGGCGCCGUUGCCAGGGUCGAACCUCUGCCUCAGGCUGCCAAUCAAACGUCCCGUGUAAGAACCCGAUAAGACCGGCACCCACUGAUCAUCUGGAUUUAAAUGAAAAUGAAAUUUCCCCAAACUGGUCCUCAACAUCAUAUUCAGCUCUCUUUGUUUCUAUGACAUAUUCACGAAGUCUUGCAAUGUAGUGGCUUCUCAUUAAAGUCUGCUAUAGUUCACCUCUAAACUUGGUGUAGCUCAGGAAAGUGCAACAGUGACACAGUAAAGAGCGGAUGGUACAUGACAGAUAAACUGAUGGAGCUUAAUCAUGGUAGAUUGAAAGGGACCAGUUUUAAAAUUAAGUAAAUGAUGAAAAUGUUUAUUUUAAUAUGCAGUUGGCUCCCUUUCUGUUUCAUAAAUAGAUAGAUAAUCUAUAUAUCUGUCUGUCUGUUUAUCUAUCUAUCAGACAUGGUUACAAAGCAACUUCUUGCAGAGAGAAUCAGAGAAAGUCAGAUAUAAAGCCCUUAAAGAACCAACAUACAGUAUAUUAGUAAAAUGGCAAGUAGAAUGUCAAAAUAACAAAUUAUUUUAAAUAAAUCCUGUUUUUGGAAAAAGAAGCAUCUAGCGUUUUAAAUCAAGACACGACCAAGUUGUGUUGGAUAGAUCAUACUAGACUGACUCAUGGGCAUUUAUUGAAGAGUGAAGGAAGAAGAACCAAAAUGUCAAUAGUGUAGCACCGGCUUGUCUAUAAAACUUGUAUUUUUGGUCUAAUGUUUUGAGACAGCUGUGUUUAUCUGAAAAAAGUUUUAAGGACUUGUUUAUGGACCCAGAAAAACUUUUACAAUUUUUAUAACGGGUACAUUUAAAGAAUGUUUUAUAGAAUUAUGCUUAAUCUUGUCUUUUUGUACAAGUCAAAUGUUAUAAAAAUGUUUUUAUUAUUAUUGUUAUAUUGAAUUUGAUAUUAUUUUGUUGAUAAUAGCCAGUGAAGUUGAAAUACCAAUAAUUUCAAAUACAACCAACAGUCUGUCUAUCUGUCUUUCUGCAUUCAUUCUAUCGUUUGUAUCAUUCUUCUGUCUGUCUG